AGCGAACGCUGGCGGCAGGCUUAACACAUGCAAGUCGAGCGCUCGUAGCAAUACGAGAGCGGCAGACGGGAGAGUAACACGUGGGAACGUACCCUUUGGUUCGGAACAACACAGGGAAACUUGUGCUAAUACCGAAUAAGCCCUUACGGGGAAAGAUUUAUCGCCAAAGGAUCGGCCCGCGUCUGAUUAGCUAGUUGGUGGGGUAAUGGCCCACCAAGGCGACGAUCAGUAGCUGGCUGAGAGGAUGACCAGCCUCAUUGAGACUGAGACACGGCCCAAACUCCUACGGGAGGCAGCAGUGGGGAAUAUUGGACAAUGGGCGCAAGCCUGAUCCAGCCAUGCCGCGUGGAUGAUGAAGGCCUUAGGGUUGUAAAGCCCUUUUCUGAGGAAGAUGAUGACGGUACUCAGGAGAAGCACCGGCUAACUACGUGCCAGCAGCCGCCG
rnacentral:rRNA from 1 species